rnacentral:rRNA from 1 species
AUUGAACGCUGGCGGCAUGCUUUACACAUGCAAGUCGAACGGCAGCGCGGGGCAACCUGGCGGCGAGUGGCGAACGGGUGAGUAAUAUAUCGGAACGUACCCAGAAGUGGGGGAUAACGCAGCGACAGCUGUGCUAAUACCGCAUACGAGCUAUGGAUGAAAGCGGGGGACCGUAAGGCCUCGCGCGAUUGGAGCGGCCGAUGUCAGAUUAGCUAGUUGGUGGGGUAAAGGGCCACCAAGGCUACGAUCUGUAGCUGGUCUGAGAGGACGACCAGCCACACUGGGACUGAGACACGGCCCAGACUCCUACGGGAGGCAGCAGUGGGGAAUUUUGGACAAUGGGCGCAAGCCUGAUCCAGCAAUGCCGGGUGCAGGAAGAAGGCCUUCGGGUUGUAAACUGCUUUUGUACGGAACGAAACGGUCUGGGUUAAUACCUCGGGCUAAUGACGGUACCGUAAGAAUAAGCACCGGCUAACUACGUGCCAGCAGCCGCCGUAAAAC